CAGAGGGUGCGAGCGUUAAUCGGAAUUACUGGGCGUAAAGCGCGCGUAGGCGGCUUUUCAAGUCGAUUGUGAAAUCCCCGGGCUCAACCUGGGAACUGCAGUCGAGACUGUCUAGCUAGAGUAUGGGAGAGGGAAGUGGAAUUUCAGGUGUAGCGGUGAAAUGCGUAGAUAUCUGAAGGGACAUCAGUGGCGAAAGCGACUUCCUGGACCAAUACUGACGCUCAUGUGCGAAAGCGUGGGGAGCAAACAGGAUUAGAUACCCUGGUAGUCCACGCCAUAAACGAUGAGAACUGGAUGUCGGGAGGGUCUGCCUCUCGGUGUCGUAGCUAACGCGUUAAGUUCUCCGCCUGGGGAGUACGGCCGCAAGGUUG
rnacentral:rRNA from 1 species